UGUCUUACGUAUGUACUUGUUAAGCCUUUAAGAGAAAAGUUUACAACUUAAGGAAUUAUAACAAAGAAGUAACACAUAAUAAGUUUACCUUAUUUAGUGUGUAUCAAUCGAGUUUCUGACCUAUCAGCUUUUGAUGUUAGGGUAUUGGCCUAACAUGGCUAUGACGGGUAACGGGGAAUUAGAGUUCGAUUCCGGAGAGGGAGCCUGAGAAAUAGCUACCACAUCUAAGGAAGGCAGCAGGCGCGUAAAUUACCCAAUUCUAAAGAAGAGAGGUAGUGACAAGAAAUAACAAUACAAGGCCAUUUCAUGGUUUUGUAAUUGGAAUGAUGGGAAUUUAAAACCUUCCCAAAAUUCAAUUGGAGGGCAAGUCUGGUGCCAGCAGCCGCGGUAAUUCCAGCUCCAAUAGCGUAUAUUAAAAUUGUUGCAGUUAAAACGCUCGUAGUUGAAUUUCAAAGAAUCAAUAUUUUAAGUAAUGCUUUUGGUAUAAGAUGCUUAGACAAUACAACGUAUCUGCUCUUUGCAUUCCUUAUCCAAAAUGUGUUCUUAUUAUAAAAAGGAUUCUUUUUAAAAUCUCCUUUACUUUCUUGUACUGGAGAUUUUGUUACUUUGAGUAAAUUAGAGUGUUCAAAGCAAACAGUUAAAGCAUUUUACUGCGUUUGAAUACUACAGCAUGGAAUAACAAAAUUGAACAAGUCAAAACUCUGUUCCUUUUUCUUAUUUUGGCU
rnacentral:rRNA from 1 species